AGCCCCGGGAACAGCAGCCGGCCGGGGAGCAGGGUGGGAGGCGGCCGCCGGCGUGUUUAAGGCUCGAUUCUGUGACCGGUGUGUGACGGCGUGUGUGCUCUGGACCGCACGCUGUAGGUAAGCGUGGACCUCCGUGGGAAUGGACCUUUCCAAAUUUAAGGUUGCUGUGCGUUAUAGGGCGGAGCCGUGCGGGAUCCUGGAACUGUAGUGACAGCCUCUUCUUAAGACCAAGGGCGUCGAGGGGCUUCGUAAAUCUUCCAGCUCAGAGGCUCAUCGGGAGGGAGCAGCCGUCUUCUCUCCCAGAUACACCGUGGUUCCCCAUCUAGAAAGUAAGGGAGCGCUCGGUCUUGGAGAGUACAGACAGCUAGCUGACCUGAACAUAGGGGACGUCAGGAUCUGGCUCCCAGCCCCUGCCCUCUGAAGGUGCACUGGUGAGCAGGAACGCCCCUCCCUGCCCAGAACCUCCAGAAUGCUGCACUGUUUCUGCCAGCCUUACCCUCAUCUUGCCUCCCGGCCACCCACCAGCCUGGAACCACAGAGUGCUGGCUCGGCUCCCGACCCCCCAGAGAGCUGAGUGAGGUGACAGAUGACAGGCUCCCCUGGCUGUGUGACAAGAGCACGCACUCCCAGGCAGUCCACUGCAGGGGACUCCUGGGAGGGAAAGAGUCACGGAUUGCUGUGUUCUGGCUAGCUCCCCAGGGGCACUAAUCUAGAGAUGGAAGCGGGCACUAGGAGACCCUGAGUGGCUCUGGGGAUAGCCGAGGGGUCUCAUAGGAUGCAGAGCAUGAAUCUAAAACGUGUCUGUCCCAAGUAGGAUGAGGCAAGUCUGUCUGCAUUCAGUCCUCACAAGCAGCCAGUGGGCAGGGGCCUGGGGACCAGCUCCAACACCACUGCCAGUGCCUUUCCAGUGCACUUGGCCGUACCACUGUUACUUUGCAUGUCUCACCUGUGACGGCAGUAAGACGGGUCACCUCAGCAGCCACCUCUACAAGGUGGGACCCCUACCUUCCUGUCACUGCUAACGAGAUGAGAGACGCACAGCCGAACCAAUCAGCUCCUCUCCUGGGACCCAAGACUGGAACUGGAACCACCAUCCUGUCACGUCUGGUUGUGAGAAGUGAGAUGGAGUAGGACAGUCAUCUUCCACCCUGUGUGUGGAGACAGGGCUCCCCCUGAAGUGUCAUGCUGGCUUAUAGGUGUGGAAUAUUAAGAGGACAUAGCCUGGUUAGAAUGCCUUCAGGAGAGAGGAACCAGAUAACAAGGACAAGAACCCUUCUUUCUGGAACCCUUUACCCUGCAGUGCCUGGGAGAUCGGGACCUGUGCCUUCAUUCAUGUGAUUACUGACUGCCCACUGGGAGCCUCGCUGCGGAAGACCCAGUACAGGCCAGGCCACUGAGGGUCCCCCGUGCACCAGGCUGAGAACAAGACAGGUGAGACCCCGCUCUCAAGGAGCUCACAUUCUAGUGGAGAGAGACAGAAACCAGUUUUAUUGGAACUUCAGAAAAAGAAUAUAAAACCUAGUCAUGAGCUGGAGUGACGGGGGGGCACUUUAGAUCUGAGGGUUCAGGGAGGCCUCUUGGAGAGGAUCACACUGAAGGGCAAGAAGAAGGGACCGUGGGGGCGUCUGAUAGCAGCGUGUGGAACCCACACAGCCAUCACAACCACCACCGUCGUUUUAAGCACAUUCCAAAGAAUGACUGGAGUUGAAGUACGUUCUGAGUUUGAGUUACAGACCUGUCUGCCUGUCUGGAACUUCCUUAGAACCCAUCCC